GGUUAAGUUCAAGUGCCCAUUUUGCAUGCCCUAUGAAUACUCACAAACUGAAAAAAAUAACAUAACCAUUGACAUGAUUGAUAAAGGCAAGAUGAGGAAAUGAAUUUCUUUUUGUAAGUUUAACACAAAGGUACCCAAAUUGCACCUAUUUUGACAUGUAUUUACAUCUACAUUUACUUAUGAUCCAGACAAAAGUUUUCAUUCUGGCUUAAUUUUGUAAUUUGUAGAUGUAUCCUUAUUUACUAUAAGUUCAAACAUAUAAAUUUUGAAUCCAUAUUGCAUCAUAAAAAAAUAGGUUUGAACCAACUUCCAAAUGACCCAAGAUUCUAUAAUGAGAAGUAGUGAAAUUGCUUCCAUGCGUAAAUUCACAUAUAUGUAACACAUUUUUUUCUUCAAAUAUU
rnacentral:lncRNA from 1 species